GACGAACGCUGGCGGCGUGCUUAACACAUGCAAGUCGAACGGAAAGGCUCCAGCUUGCUGGAGUACUCGAGUGGCGAACGGGUGAGUAACGCGUGGGUAAUCUGCCCUGCACUCUGGGAUAAGCCUGGGAAACUGGGUCUAAUACUGGAUAUGACCUUUCUCCUUAUGGGGUUUGGUGGAAAGUUUUUCGGUGUAGGAUGAGCCCGCGGCCUAUCAGCUUGUUGGUGGGGUGAUGGCCUACCAAGGCGACGACGGGUAGCCGGCCUGAGAGGGUGAUCGGCCACAUUGGGACUGAGAUACGGCCCAGACUCCUACGGGAGGCAGCAGUGGGGAAUAUUGCACAAUGGGCGGAAGCCUGAUGCAGCGACGCCGCGUGAGGGAUGACGGCCUUCGGGUUGUAAACCUCUUUCAGCAGGGACGAAGCGUAAGUGACGGUACCUGCAGAAGAAGCACCGGCUAACUAUGUG
rnacentral:rRNA from 1 species